CAAAAUAAAGCUAAAAUUUAGCAUUUCACUUACGUUGAAAAGGUUGUCGGGAGUGCCGAUUUAUUUUGA
rnacentral:tRNA from 1 species